UAUUCUUACCUGCGUUCUACAAUUUUCUGGAACUCAAUCCUGGCAAGAAGUCCACGGCUUCUAGACUGGAUACCAGUGAUGAUGAGAGCGAGACGGUCGUCUCUCAUCUCCUCAAGGACACCCAGGAGACCAGCUUUGAAGAACACCUGAUAAGAGUCAAAACAGGAUCCUGUUGGGGAAGCCCUUUCUGCAGAUCCUGAUGCCUUCCAGCACACCGUUACAGCGCAGCUGGUGCAUGACCAGAGGAUUCUCCAUGGCCCCAGGAGUCUUGGUCUCGUUGGGGAUGAUGCAGCGCACAAAGUGGGGUGUCCUUCUUGACGUCUCCCGGUCCAUGUAGAAAAUUCCAACCCGCUGAUCCAUGUGCAUUUCAUCUGGUCUUCAUCACUCAUGCUGUCUCUGGUCAGCUGUACUUUCAGUACAUCAAGCACAUUGCCUGGUUUUUGGAUUGAAAGCCUAUCAGUGAGGUUUGUUUGAUGGUCUCCUAUUCAUCAAAUAGGAGACCACAGCAUUACCAUUCAAACAAGUGAACUUGGCUUUGAAUAUCAUCAUGCCGGCUCAGCUGCUGAUGCUGUAGAAAGGACCUUGUGGAUGAGCCUUUUUACAGCUUUGACAGUAAAACUGAAUGUGUUCAAAUGGAAGAUUUCUCUGGUCCUUGAGGUGGACUCUCGCAGUUCAAUCUUCAGUGCCAAUAGGUGUAAAAUGACAACUGUUGCUCUCACCUUGCCACCUGCAUCACGACUCUUGGCUCUCAUCUUGUUGACCUGAGACUCCGCUAUAUCAGCUCUCUCCUCAGCCUCAUCCAGCUCAUGCUGAAUCUUGCGGAACUUGCCCAGGACUUGACCUUCAGCUGCAGUUUGUCCACCAGAUCCUGAAGACGGCUCAAAUUCUUUUUGUCCUCUUCAGUCUACAGAUGGGAGUGACCCUUGAGCUGCUUCUGGGCCUCAGAUGCCUGCCUGUUGGCCUGGCUGAGCUGGAUCUCCAUCUCAUUGAGGUCUCCCUCCAUCUUCUUCUUCACCCUGAGAGCCUCAUUCCUGCUGCGAGUCUCAGACUCCAGGGAGGUCUGCAGGGUAUCCACUACUCUCUGCUGGUUCCUCUUGGCUUGCUCCAUCUCCUCAUCCUUCUCAGGCAGUCUGUAUCUCUGCCUUCUCUUGCUCAAGUGUCUUCCUGACCUUCUCAAGCUCAUGGAUGCUCUUCCCAGUCUCACCAAGUUGCUCAGUGAGAUCAGAAAUUUCCUCUGGAAAGUAAACAAAGAUUAGUUAGUUGUGUGAUGUCACUUUAACAAUCAUAUAAGCUUUGUCUUAAGGGAGGAUCAAACAGACCUUGGAGAUUUUUGUUCUCCCUCUUCAUGGUCUCAAGGUGAUCCAGAGAUUCCUCAUAAGAGUUCUUCAGUUUAAAGAGCUCAGUGCCAAGAGAUCUGGACUCUUUCUGAGAACUCUCCAGCUCAGUCUGGGACUCCUCAAACUUUUGCUUCCACUCAGACAAGACCUGUUAAGGUGAAAAUCUUUAAAUAGCAGCAGCAGCAGCAUUGGAUCUCUCCACAUCUACCAUGAGAUCUUCAAUCUCAUUCUGCAGUCUAUGCUUAGUUUUCUCCAGGGAGGAGCAUUUGGCAUUGACAGCCUCCACAGCUUCCUCUGCAUCUUGCAGACGCUGAGCCAGCUUUUUCCUGUGGAAAAAUAAUUGAAAAGGUUAUUAUCACCUGCGUUCUACGAUUUUCUUGAAUUCAACCCUGGCAAUCAUUCCACGGGCUCUAGACUGUAGACCAGUGAUGAUGAGAGCGAGACGGUCGUCUCUCAUCUCCUCAAGGACACCCAGGAGACCAGCUUUGAAGAACACCUGAUAAGAGUCAAAACAGUCUGCAUACUGGAUCCUGUUGGGGAAGCCCUUUCUGCAGAUCCUGAUGCCUUCCAGCACACCGUUACAGCGCAACUGGUGCAUGACCAGAGGAUUCUCCAUGGCCCCAGGAGUCUUGGUCUCGUUGGGGAUGAUGCAGCGCACAAAGUGGGGCCCUUACAAAGCGCUCCUACAUCACAGAUAUCAUCAGAAGUUAUUCUCUCUCUACAAACACAUUUGAAGGCGGGAUCAGGUGGGAUCGGGAAACAAUCCGGGUCCCCGUGGCCCCUUGAGCUUGAUUGGGUGGCAACUGUUGCUCUCACCUUGCCACCGGUAUCACGGCUCUUGGCUCUCAUCUUGUUGACCUGAGACUCAGCUAUAUCAGCUCUCUCCUCAGCCUCAUCCAGCUCAUGCUGCAGCUUGCGGAACUUGCCCAGGACUUGACCUUCAGCUGCAGUUUGUCCACCAGAUCCUGAAGACGGCUCAAAUUCUUUUUGUCCUCUUCAGUCUACAGAUGGGAGAGAGGUUAUUCUUACCUGCGUUCUACAAUUUUCUUGAAUUCAAUCCUGGCAAUCAUUCCACGGGCACUAGACUGUAGACCAGUGAUGAUGAGAGCGAGACGGUCAUCUCUCAUCUCCUCAAGGACACCCAGGAGUCCAGCUUUGAAGAACACCUGAUAAGAGUCAAAACAGUCUGCAUACUGGAUCCUGUUGGGGAAGCCCUUUCUGCAGAUCCUGAUGCCUUCCAGCACACCGUUACAGCGCAGCUGGUGCAUGACCAGAGGAUUCUCCAUGGCCCCAGGAGUCUUGGUCUCGUUGGGGAUGAUGCAGCGCACAAAGUGGGGGUUUGUUUCAUGGUCUCCUAUUAUGAAAAGGUGACCUUUGACCCCUCACAAAGAACCACAGCACUACCACUGAAACAAGUGAACCUGGCUUUGAACAUCACCAUGCCUACUCAGCAGCUGAAAGCACCUUGACACAAUCCCUUAGAUCUCCUUAGAGAAUCUCGGUUGAACAGCAGCCAACAGACUUCUCCUCUGUAGUGUGCACAGCCAUUUCAGUGAAGGAUCAGCCAAGCACAAGCACAAUGAUGUGAAAAGAUUUUUAUUGUUUUUUACCCCUGCAGUAUAUGGAUUCACUUAAUUUAAGGUCAAGAACCUUGUGGAUGAGUCUUUUGACAGCUUUUACAGCAAAACUGAGAGAGCUCAUUUCUCUAGUCCUUGAGGUGGACCCCCACAGUUCAAUACCAAAACAACAGAUCUCAAGGUGUUACAGUUUGUUUGAUGGUCUCCUAUUGUGAAAAAGUGACCUUUGACCCCUCACAAAGAAUCACAGCAUUACCAUUCAACCAAGUGAACUUGGAUUUGAACAUCAUCAUGCCGGCUCAGCUGCUGAUGCUGUAGAAAGAACCUUGUAGAUGAGCCUUUUUACAGCUUUGACAGUAAAACUGAAAGUGCUCAAAUGGAAGAUUUCUCUGGUCCUUGAGGUGGACCCUCGCAGUUCAAUCUUCAGUGCCAAUAGGUGUAAAAGACUUGACCUUCAGCUGCAGUUUGUCCACCAGAUCCUGAAGACGGCUCAAAUUCUUUUUGUCCUCCUCAGUCUACAGAUGGGAGAGAGGUUAUUCUUACCUGCGUUCUACAAUUUUCUGGUACUCAAUCCUGGCAAUCAUUCCACGGGCUCUAGACUGUAGACCAGUGAUGAUAAGAGCGAGACGGUCGUCUCUCAUCUCCUCAAGGACACCCAGGAGACCAGCUUUGAAGAAGACCUGAUAAGCGUCAAAACAGUCAGCAUACUGGAUCCUGUUGGGGAAGCCCUUUCUGCAGAUCCUGAUGCCUUCCAGCACACCGUUACAGCGCAGCUGGUGCAUGACCAGAGGAUUUUCCAUGGCCCCAGGAGUCUUGGUCUCGUUGGGGAUGAUGCAGCGCACAAAGUGGGGGUGAGUUGACCUCAAGUUGGUCAUCAGCUUGUUCAGAUUCUCCUGUUGUUCAGCCAUUUAAAUAAAAACAAAAAGCAAUAGGACUGCACAGAAUCCCAGUGGGCUCAUUGAUCUAAAUAUACUUAAAAGAAAGAUAUGUGGUACUAAUAAAUACCUUCACUUAGUAUGUUAAUUUAACCUGUCACACUUACCCUGUGAAGGGCAGAUACAGUCUGGAAAGAAGAACCCUUCUUCUUCUUGGCACCAGCCUCUUGGGCUAUUAAAAUAUCACAUGUCCAUCAGCUCUUCUCAUAAACAUGAUGUUAAUUCAUUAAUGUCACAGGAAUAGUUUGUAAGAUAUUUACAGAAUACCUGCAUCAGCACCAGCAUAGUUGGCGAAGAGAGCACACAACAUUUUAAGAUUUGACUUCUGGAAGAGUCCGACC